UCAGCGGAGCCAGACGCGUGGGGGCUGCGCCACUGUGCACGCCCGCCUGGUCUUCUGGAGCUGAGGACUCGGGAAACCACGCAGUUGAGGCGAGCCUUGGGCUGCUUAGAGGCGCUGACAUCCGAGGAGCCUUUCCUGGGAUUGGAUGAUCAACGUUUGGGAGAAGUGAAAGAAGAGGGCAUAGAGCAGCUAAGCAGGACCGGCGACUGGGAGGGGCCCAGAGGCCUCCCCACACCUAUCUUCUUGGAAGGAGCUGGAUGUCGCUGAAGGAAAGUCGAAAAAUGAAAAAGGAUAACCUUUUCCCUUUCCCCAUCCAGGAAAUAGCUGAAGGAGGCCCAACAUCUGAAGGGAGCCCACCCGGCUCAGGGAAGACCUGACGGGUGCUAAGGCCACCCUGGAAAGCCACAUCCGAGUUGUAUUUCUUGAAGAGAUUGAGUGGGCAAGGCUAGGACAUUGGCCCUGGCAGCUGGUUGCCCAUGAACUGUCCUUUCUCCGGAGCUCCACAGCGCGGGGCCAUCUCCAGAAAACAGUCUCCCGCAUGUAUUUCCUUUUAUCCUCAACCCAGAACCCCACGGCAGCUAAUGCAAAAGGCCAAAAAUGUUCUGGAGGAAGAAAAACAAAGGCAGGAAGUGGCGGCGGCCUGACGGUUCGUGUGUGUCCGUGGAGAAGGGAGGGAGCCUUUUCAAUCUCUUCUUGUUGUUUUUCCAAACUUCAAGGUCUAGGCAGCCCUCGCAGGGCCGGGCCCUUUCGCUCCCCAAGCAGCGUUUGGAGACGGCCACCCGGAGAGGAGAAGGAUGGGUCCCGAGCCCGCCCUGUCAAGUGGAAACGGCUAACGAGGCGAUUUGCUCAGCAAAGCAGACCAAGCCUUCGCAAGGCUCCGUUUGAUUUGGCCCUAAAUGGGGGAGGGGGAGUUUGAGGGGUUCGGCAGUACCUCCCGGAUCCUCCUUGCUGCGGCUGAGUGGGCCCUGGUGGGGAUGAUUCCUGCGUCCUGCGCCCCACCCACCUUCCCAGGCAAGAUACUGGAAUAAAUUGCGUCCAGGUGCCUCUGC